AAGUAUUAAAGGUCCCGCCUGCCCAGUGAAAUUUAUUUUUAACGGCCGCGGUAUUCUAACCGUGCAAAGGUAGCGUAAUCACUUGUCUUCUAAAUAAAGACUAGUAUGAACGGCUAAAUGAGGGUAAGACUGUCUCUUAUAAUUAAUCAGUGAAACUGACCUCCCAGUACAAACGCUGGAAUAAGCACAUAAGACGAGAAGACCCCGUGGAGCUUAAAACUAAUCACUAACACAUUAUUACCCUAGUGCACUGUUUUCAGUUGGGGCGACUUCGGAAUAAAACAAAACUUCCGAGCACAGAACCACCACUUCCUACUAAGGCCAACAAGCCCAAGUACAACCUGACCCGGCUCCAAUGCCGAUCAACGAACCAAGUUACCCCGGGGAUAACAGCGCUAUCUUCUUCAAGAGUCCCUAUCAACAAGAAGGUUUACGACCUCGAUGUUGGAUCAGGACACCCAAAUGGUGCAGCCGCUAUUAAAGGUUCGUUUGUUCAACGAUUAACAGUCCUACGUGAUCUGA
rnacentral:rRNA from 1 species